rfam:Brachypodium distachyon strain Bd21 chromosome 1, whole genome shotgun sequence.
AUGGUACUCCCUCCGAUCCAUAUUACUUGUCGAAAUAUUACAUAUAUCUAGACGCUUUUUAAACAUAGAUACAUUCAUAUUUAGCCAAAUUUGAGACAAGUAAUAUAAAUCGGAGGGAGUACUAA